rnacentral:rRNA from 1 species
GAUGAACGCCAGCGGCAGGCCUAACACAUGCAAGUCGAGGGGUAGCAGGAUUAAGCUUGCUUAAUUGCUGACGACCGGCGCACGGGUGCGUAACGCGUAUGCAACCUACCUUAUACUGGGGUAUAGCCCGGAGAAAUUCGGAUUAAUCCCCCAUAGUACUAAUGAAUCGCAUGGUUUAUUAGUUAAAGCAUUGCGGUAUAAGAUGGGCAUGCGUCCGAUUAGCUAGAUGGUGAGGUAACGGCUCACCAUGGCUACGAUAGGUAGGGGGCCUGGGAGGGUGGUCCCCCACACUGGUACUGAGACACGGACCAGACUCCUACGAGAGGCAGCAGUGAGGAAUAUUGGUCAAAGGGCGCAAGCCUGAACCAGCCAUGCCGCGUGCAGGAAGAAUGCCCUAUGGGUUGUAAACUGCUUUUAUUUGGGAAUAAACCUCUUUACGUGUAGAUAGCUGAAGGUACCAAAUGAAUAAGCACCGGCUAACUCCGUGCCAGCCGCCGCAGUAA